rnacentral:pre_miRNA from 1 species
GCGGGUGUGCUGUCUGGUGCGUGUGUUUCACCAUGACUAGAUAACACAUUCGUCU